UGUGGGAGCUGGCUUGCCUGCGAUGGCGGUGGGUCAGUUACCGAGAAUAUCGUCUGACAGGUCGCUAUCGCAGGCAAGCCAGCUCCCACA
rnacentral:antisense_RNA from 1 species